CGCCAGCUCACAUAUAAACAGAGCGGAGACGCAACGUAAAGAAAGGUUGGUCGUGUGUGUUAGCCUGUACCCAUUCUAGCUCAGUCCCUGAACGGAUAGGCAUCACCACACUUCAAGAAACAAUCAUUUGGCUGACGGAACGCUCUUCUCCAUUCCUUCCCCUCAAGUUCAGAAUGGCUGAUCUGUCUUACAUGCCCCGGGAGAGAGCAGCUGACCCUACGUAUGACUUGAGAACUAUAUGGGAGAAGAAGAUUGAAAAGCAAACGGAGUGGCUGGAACAGGAAAGGCUGCGGCUGAGUCGGAGUGCCCUUAGUAGCAGACUCAUCAAAGAAUGGACCAACAGAGUUGAAAGCAAAAAAAAACUGAUGCAAACCAUUCUUGAAGAUGACAGAAAGAGACAGAGAUCUGCGUUACCAAUUGAAACUCCUGUUCAGCAAGUACCAUCCAGUGCUUAAUUGCUGAAGAUUCAAUCAAGUCAACCAAGGACAGCUAACCAUCAUGUUACUUUGUGACUGCAGUGUGAAUGUAUAGAUAUAGAAAACUGUGACAUUUUAAGUUCACUUUAAUGUAUGACCUAAUUCACUAUGAAAGUAAUCUGCUCAUGUUCUAAUAAUUUUCUGAUUUCAUAUGAACUAUUAAGUUUUCUUUAUUGCUUGAUUUAUUUCACUCUUAUUUAUGAAACACUUUAGAUUUGAUUUUUUGGAAAUCUUAGUUGUAGAAAUCUUGAAAGUUUUGGGUUGUAAAUGUAGUAACAUGCUUACAGGUAACAAAAGUGGUCCUUAACAUGGUCAUGGGUUAAAGUUAGGCAAAUGUACUGCAAUGAUUUUGACAGAAAUGACAUUUUAUUACAAUUUAACUAAAACACAUAUUUACUAGGAAGGCAUUCAGUAUAUCUAAAUCUUCUAAGUGAUCACUUGAUUAGGAAGAAGUGGUUGUGAAAGGCCAAGUAUUGAAGGCUGAAUGUUGUUGCAGGAAGUAGAUGGAACUUGCAGUCAGGAAGUUUGGUGACUGGGUUUUGAAGAUGUGGUAAUGAAAAGAAAUGGUGGAUUUUCAGUAUAAUAUCAAGUAUGAAUACUCACACAGGACAAAGAAAUGGUUCAAAAUACAGAGUUUAUUGCUUAGGGCAUCUCUGUCAAACAGAAGUUUCCCAAGAUGUUCAGUGAUUGCCAAUUUGUUCAGGGAAUGCUGCUUGAGAUAGUAAAGUCAGUGAGCAAGUAAAUAACAGAGAUUAGUUGUUUCUAUUUGUUCUCAGACUGACUGAGCCCGGCCUUGGAACAGUUGAUAUGUUAAGUACAGCUUGGCUAGCCAAACUUGCAAUUUCAUUGCUUCCACAUUGAGAUUCAAGAUUGUGAGUACAUUAAUAAGGCAUUAACAACUAUGAGUAAUACUUUUUUCCAGGUAAAUCCAAUAUCUGAUGAAAUUAAAUACCAAGUCUUGCUGCUUUAACGAUGAGACAGGUCACCAUUGAUUACCCUGCACAUUUUACAGGCACAGUAAGUAAUGGCAGGUUGUUUCCUGACUUGUAUCAUCUCACUACAAAGUAUGCAAAAAACUCUUAAUUUUACACACUGUGAUUCCAGAAUUUUUAUUUCCAUUUCCUCCUUUCACCUCCUAAGGUCAGUAUCACAGUAUGGAUCUUCCAGUGCUGACAGCCAUUUGUCAAAUGUGAGCUUAGUUGGUGAGUGUUGCCAAGUUAUUAAAACAUGGAGAACAGCCAAACUUAACCCUGUCCUUGUAUGUCUGCUCACACAAGCACUUGGCAAAAGAGGGAUUGGGACAGUAACAAGAAAGACCCACUUUCUGGCAGUGUUCACCUCCUCUAGAUCCUCAAAAUCUAUUAGCCGAUUGUAGCAUCUCCCAGAAAAUGGAAUGUAUUUUAUUUUGCAAGUGAUUGAUUGAGGACUUUACAAAAAAUACUUUUGCUCCUAAUAAAGUCUACAGGUGUGUUGACAAAAGUAAUUUUGAAUUUAAAAACCUCUUUCACUAUUUUCACCUCCAGUGACAAAACAAAAACAAGUAUUACAUUUCAAAAUAACAAAAAUAGUGGUAGAUUCUGGCAUUUGAGAACAAAACCACUGCCAGUUAUCUUCCCACAAUCACACUCUGCCUGAAACAGGUUCUGUUCAUAUGUUUUCAAUGCGAAUCCAAUUUUGUUGUUCCCCACCAACUUUUACUAAAAAGCAAGCGCGCGCGUACACACACACACACACACACACACACACACACACACACACACACACACACACACACACACACACACACACACACACACACACACACACACACACACACACACACACACACAAAA